AGCACAGCUAUAUGCAAAACGCACCGUUUUACCACACUUUUUCCCUCUCCCUCUCUAUCUCUCCCUGCCCCACACUCGCCAAUCCCUCCCCAUGAGUUUCUCUCCCUCUUACGAGUUCUCUCUCUGCCGAUCUCUCUCUCUUUUGUGCUGAAGGCCCAAAUCACCACCACCAUACGUCGAGCAAACCCAACACCGACAACCACCAGCAGCCGCCACUGAUUUCGGAUCAACCACGCCAAGACUCACCACACACCCUCACAGUCCUGAUUCGAGCCCCAUCGCUUGAGCGACGCCGGGUAACUCAAUUGACUAGUGGAGGUCGUGCCUUUCGUAGUCUUUGUUUUGAAGUGCCGCUGAGGACGUCUCCAACGCCUUAAACAGAUACCUUUGCCACCACGUCCACGCCUUCUCUCUUUUGCGGACUCCAACCGUUUGAAUAAGUGCCUCAAAAACGAAAAGACCAAAAAAAAAAAAAUGAUACCAAAGCCACUGCGAACGUUAGGCACCGGCGCCGCUAUCAUUCUUGGUGGAAUACUAACUCUUAAUCUUGCUUCCUCCGCUACUAUCAGAGCGAUUCGUCUCACCAACGAAGCGAAACGGAGAAAGGUCGCAUUGCCUUGUGGCGUUUGCAGAGGCAAAGGGUUUUAUAUCUGCAAAUUGUGCAAAGGAAAUGCCACCAUAAGUUGGUCGCCUUUGUAUGACCCUGUUGCCAUCAACCCUUGCCUUUGCCCUACUUGCGAUGGAAACAGGGUACAGCGUUGUCUUAAUUGUCUAGGGAAGGGCUAUGAUUGACAUGCUUGAGAGGCAGUCUAGAAUUUUGCAAGUGAGUUGUAUUUGCUGUAUGUUGGAGACCACAUUUUGUGUUACACUCAAUUGCAUUUAAGCUCGUACUUCUUUCGAUCAAUCAUUGGUGCUUCAACUUGACUUCUAUGAGUCAUGUUACCAAUUAUUCAGCAGAAAAGUGUCAUGUUGUCCCAAGUAACCCAAGCCUUGAACAUCUUAUCGUCGUAUCUUUUAAAGGUGUCUCUAGCUCCCAGUUAUAGAGAAUACUAUUUGAUUUGGUAUAUGAUGUUAUUGCCUUCACUG